AGAGUUUGAUCCUGGCUCAGAAUCAACGCUGGCGGCGUGCCUAACACAUGCAAGUCGCACGAGAAAGGGUAGCAAUACCUGAGUACAGUGGCGCACGGGUGAGUAACACGUGAAUCAUCUACCUUCGAGUGGGGAAUAACUGAGAGAAAUCUCAGCUAAUACCGCAUAAUACCUACGGGUCAAAGCAGCAAUGCGCUUGAAGAGGAGUUCGCGGCAGAUUAGUUAGUUGGCGGGGUAAUGGCCCACCAAGACGAUGAUCUGUAUCCGGCCUGAGAGGGCGCACGGACACACUGGAACUGAAACACGGUCCAGACUCCUACGGGAGGCAGCAGUGGGGAAUUUUGCGCAAUGGGGGAAACCCUGACGCAGCAACGCCGCGUGGAGGAUGAAAUCCCUUGGGAUGUAAACUCCUUUCGAUCGGGAAGAUUAUGACGGUACCGAUAGAAGAAGCCCCGGCUAACUUCGUGCCAGCAGCCGCGGUAAUACGAGGGGGGCAAGCGUUGUUCGGAAUUAUUGGGCGUAAAGGGCGCGUAGGCGGUUUGACAAGUCUGAUGUGAAAUCUCUGGGCUCAACCCAGAGUCUGCAUUAGAAACUGUCGGGCUUGAGUAUGGGAGAGGUGAGUGGAAUUUCCGGUGUAGCGGUGAAAUGCGUAGAUAUCGGAAGGAACACCUGUGGCGAAAGCGGCUCACUGGACCAUAACUGACGCUGAGGCGCGAAAGCUAGGGGAGCAAACAGGAUUAGAUACCCUGGUAGUCCUAGCCCUAAACGAUGAUUGCUUGGUGUGACAGGUACCCAAUCCUGUCGUGCCGAAGCUAACGCGAUAAGCAAUCCGCCUGGGGAGUACGGUCGCAAGGCUGAAACUUAAAGGAAUUGACGG
rnacentral:rRNA from 1 species